ensembl:snRNA U6 U6 spliceosomal RNA
GUGUCACUUUGGCAGCACAUAUACUAAAAUUGGAACCAUAUAGAGAAAAUUAACAUGGCCCCUGGGCAAGGAUAACAUGCAAAUCUGUGAAGCGUUCCAUAUUUUU